rnacentral:rRNA from 1 species
UACAGAGGGUGCGAGCGUUGUCCGGAUUUACUGGGCGUAAAGCGCGCGCAGGCGGCAUGGCAAGUAAGGUGUGAAAUCUCCCUGCCUAACGGGGAGGGUGCACUUUAGACUGCCAAGCUAGAGGACGGUAGAGGGGGGUAGAAUUGCUGGUGUAGCGGUGAAAUGCGUAGAUAUCUGAAGGAACAUCAGUGGCGAAAGCGACUUCCUGGACGAAUACUGACGCUCAUGUGCGAAAGCGUGGGGGAGCAAACAGG